ACAUCAUCGCACCGCAUUGGAUUUGGUUUGGUUUUGGUUGGAGGUAGUUCGUUUUGGCGGGUAGCGUAGCGUUGCAGUGACAGGCGAGCCGCGAGCGUACAGCCAUUGGAGUUUUAGAGAAGCAGCACAGAGGAGGGGAGACCGGAGAUGGUGCCCUGCGCCCAGCAGCCGCAGCUGCCCACAGCUCCUCCUUUCCACACUUUCCGUCAAGCGGGCAGGAGGGUUAUUCCGCUUCCUCGUUUACAUCGCCGCAGCCGCCGUACCAUCGCCACCAUGGCCUCCGCCUCCGGCUCCCCCAACCCAGUCGUGCUAGGGUGCGGCGGCAUCUCCGUCGACUACCUGGCCGCGGUGGCAUCCUUCCCCAACCCCGACGAUAAGAUCCGCAGCCUCGCCCUCAAGGUGCAGGGGGGCGGCAACACUGGCAACGCGCUCACUGCAGCUGCACGCCUCGGCCUCCGUCCCAGGAUCAUUUCCAAGGUAGCCAACGAUGCUCAAGGAAGAAGCAUCCUCAGCGAACUCCAAACUGAUGGCGUGGACACAUCCUACAUCCUGGUCGCAGAGAACGGGAACUCACCCUUCACCUACAUAAUAGUUGAUGAACAGACGAAAACUCGUACAUGUAUACACACUCCUGGUUCUCCUCCCAUGGUGCCAGAAGAGCUCACAAAGGCAAACUUGUCGUCCGCUUUAGAUGGCGUGGACAUCGUCUACUUCGAUGUACGAUUGCAUGACAUUGCUUUGCUUGUUGCUGAAGAGGCAAGUCAAAGAAAAAUCCCUAUUUUGAUUGAUGCCGAAAGAAAGAGGGAGGGACUGGACGAGCUUCUCAACUUUGCAUCUUACGUUGUAUGCUCUGCAAAGUUUCCUCAGGCUUGGACAGGAGCCUCAUCAAUACCUGUUGCUUUAGUAUCCAUGCUUUCAAGGUUACCAAACAUCAAAUUUGUUAUUGUAACUCUGGGGGAGAAAGGUUGCUUGAUGCUUGAGAGAAGCAGUACAGAUGCUUCUGAGGCAGGGGAAAUAGAUGCAGAGGCUUUAUUCGAAUCACUAGAGAAGAGCAUUGAUCAGAGUUCUACUAUACCAAAAUGUGUUGCUUCCAAGCUUCUGUUUGUUUUCAGUCAAACUUGAGAAUAAGCGCGGAUGGAGUAAGCUCGAUAAGUGGCAGGUUACUUCUAGGUACGGCCGAAGUUAUACCACCUGGUGAACUCGUAGAUACAACUGGCGCUGGAGAUGCAUUCAUUGGAGCAGUUCUAUAUGGUUUAUGCACCAGCAUGCCACCGGAGAGGAUGCUACCUUUUGCUGCACGAGUGGCUGGUUGUGGUUGCAGAGGUCUGGGGGCUCGAACCAGCCUUCCCCAUCGCGCAGACCCACGCCUGGCUGGCUAUUGAUCCGAAUUCAGAAGGGCUGCAUCCUCCAUGACCACCUGCCUGCACCCCGUCCAAUGGUUGUGAAUAUUCCAGUCCCGAUCAGAUCAAAUAAGUCAUCAACUAUUAGCAGCACAUGAAGACUAUCAUUGUGAUAGCUAUUAUUUUGCGAUGAUUAUGCAACUAUAUGGUUCCAACUUGCUAGCUCCAGGCAUACCAGGCCUGUGCACCUUUUACGGGUGUAGAAAGUUAUACAAAUUCCGAUUGUCACGA